AGAGCGAACGCUGGCGGCAGGCCUAAUACAUGCAAGUCGAACGGAUCCUUCGGGAUUAGUGGCGGACGGGUGAGUAACACGUGGGAACGUGCCCUUUGGUUCGGAACAACUCAGGGAAACUUGAGCUAAUACCGAAUGUGCCCUUCGGGGGAAAGAUUUAUCGCCAUUGGAGCGGCCCGCGUCUGAUUAGCUAGUUGGUGAGGUAAAGGCUCACCAAGGCGACGAUCAGUAGCUGGUCUGAGAGGAUGAUUAGCCACACUGGGACUGAGACACGGCCCAGACUCCUACGGGAGGCAGCAGUAGGGAAUCUUGCGCAAUGGGCGAAAGCCUGACGCAGCCAUGCCGCGUGAAUGAUGAAGGUCUUAGGAUUGUAAAAUUCUUUCAGCGGGGACGAUAAUGACGGUACCGCAGAAGAAGCCCGGCUAACUUCGCGCCAGCAGCCGC
rnacentral:rRNA from 1 species